rnacentral:rRNA from 1 species
CACGUAGGGCGCAAGCGUUGUCCGGAAUUAUUGGGCCUAAAGCAUCCGUAGCCGGUUCUACAAGUCUUCCGUUAAAUCCACCUGCUCAACAGAUGGGCUGCGGAAGAUACUAUGGAGCUAGGAGGCGGGAGAGGCAAGCGGUACUCGAUGGGUAGGGGUAAAAUCCGUUGAUCCAUUGAAGACCACCAGUGGCGAAGGCGGCUUGCCAGAACGCGCUCGACGGUGAGGGAUGAAAGCUGGGGGAGCAAACCGG